GGCAACAGCUCACAACAACUUCGCCAGCUCACGAGAUGCACACGGAAGAGUGACUGGAGGGAAUAAACAGCGAUAACUAGAGUUUCCUGUGAUUUAAAAGGACUGCGAGGACAUUCAUCUGACAUCAAUGAAGACGGUGGCUUCUUGUGUUUCUGAAGAACUUACGGACUGCGAGGACAAUCAUCUGACAUCAAUGAAGACGGUGGCUUCUUGAGUUUCUAAAGAACUUACGGACUGCGAGGACAUUCAUCUGACAUCAAUGAAGACGGUGGCUUCUUGUGUUUCUGAAGAACUUACGGUACUAAACUAUGACCAUUUAUGAUAUUGUCGACAUACUGUACUAUGUCGUUUUUUGGACAUACUAUACUUUGUUCAUUUUUUGCAUUUUUAUAUAUUAUAUAUAUUUUCAUUCUACUAAACUGACGUCAUGGUGUCUUUUUCUUCUUUUCCCGGAACACCGAGUGCAAGUACAUCUGACAUCAAUGAAGACGGUGGCUUCUGGAGUUUCUGAAGAACUUACGGACUGCGAGGACAAUCAUCUGACAUCAAUGAAGACGGUGGCUUCUUGAGUUUCUAAAGAACUUACGGACUGCGAGGACAAUCAUCUGACAUCAAUGAAGACGGUGGCUUCUGGAGUUUCUGAAGAACUUACGAGAGUGAAGAGAGGACCCCCCCCCUCCCCCUCCCCCCAUCAUCGGCUGCCUAUGUUGCUGAAAAACUUGUGGACGUUUUCAGCCUUGGGGAAGUAUAGCAGACUUAGCAGCCUUUGGGACGUAUAGCAGACUUAACAGACUAUCGAUGUGGCUGUGAGAGGGUUAGGGGUUAGGGUUCACAGCCACUUAGCAGACGACUUGGGGCGGUGGCUGGGGUGCCGAGCGCCCCCCCCCCAGCCCCCCGACUUAGCAGACUUAGCAGACUUAGCAGACUUAGCAGACUUAGCAGGCCUACAGACUUAGCAGACUAUCGGCAGUGGCUGCAGGGCCAGUCUCACUGCCAGGAGUGCAGUGAGAGCCGGCAGCCACCUGUCGGCCGCUUAGCAGACUUGGGGACAUUUAGCAGACUUGGGGACAUUUAGCAGACUUGGGGAAAAGGCUGCACUGCUAUGUAUGAAUUGUAUGAAUUGUAUGAAUAAAAUGUGAAUACAAAAAAAGUUUCUUAAAAUUCA